ACCACUCCUACUGUUCUCUCUCUGCCAAAAAUCAUUCAAUCUGCUUGAUUUGCUUCCCAGGCUCACCCAUUGUUGUAGGGGAAACUCUGAUCUAUCUGGGUCAAGUGGCUUCUGGACCUGACUGAUUGUAAAAACACAAUGAUUGUUUCCUCCCCUGCUUUCACCUCCUUUCCCUACUUUCCAUACCUGAGGUGAGAAUGGCUGCUGCAGAUCAGGAAUGAGAUGGAAGAAAUGUGGAAAACCAAAGGGAGCACAGGUGGAAAGCUCCUGUUUGCUGUGCACUGAGGAAAGAGAAGGUGGAAGAAAAUAAAUGCAUACAUUCAGGAGUGGUGGUAACUCAGGAGUAGAGGCCUCAAGAAUCUGCUGAAUGCUGUGUAUGGCCCUUUGGGGUAGGGAGGAUAAUCAGCCUCAUGACACUGCAAUUGCAUGAGAAAGGUGGACUGGAGCUAAUGAUUCUUGCAUCUCAUGCAGCCCCUCAUGCAAAGUCUUCACAUGCAGCACUUCGGGAUAUCAGAAAGGAGCAGGUGGCACUAGGGGGGCUGUAAGAUCCCUGUCAUAUGUAUGGUGUUCUGCACCCAAGCUUAAAUUUUCAGUAGGCUUGCCUUAUCCUUUGUGUUAGUGGGCUUUCUGCAGGUGGUGUUUCCAGAGAACUCUUGGAGGCAGAGUGCCCCUGGUAAGAGGCAGAAACUGUUGUCAGUACUAACUGCUUGCAUGAAAGAUACUUUCCCUGGAACAGUACAUUAGUACCCAUGUAUUACUCAUGAGUGCUGGCCUAUUCGUGAACUUGCCUCUUUGCUCCUUUCCCAGGUCUGAAAAGGAGGCUUUUCUUUCUUGGUUUUGGAGUAAGACUUUCUGGGAAGGAGGUGGCACAUACUUCCAUUGAAAUGCGAUCUGGCUCUGACAUGGUGUGUUGGUGUGCCCUGAAUAUUUCUCAAUCUCCUUAUCUGUAGAUCUUUCGAAAACACAUUCACAUUUCUUGCAUUUCUCUUUGUAUAACUUUUCUGUCAUCAGUACAUCAGAGACAAAAAAACUCACUACAAGUGCCUCCUGGUCCCUCGAUUAGCAACAUACUGCUCUUGGUCCUCCCUUCUAGCUGCUAGACCUCAAAUUCUGUAUGCAGAGUCUUCUUACUCCUCAAGGCGCGGUAGUCCAAGAAACCUCAGCCUUGUAUUGGACACAGUCUGCCUGCCUCUUCCUUUUGUCCUGCCCAUGUUCCACCUACAUCUGAUAGAAGUGCCUAGAACAACUUUGAGGCAACUGGGGAGGGAAGCUGGUUAGAUGCCCCAUGUUGCUCUGAUGUCCCUGUAGUAUCAUUUCCUUCUUUAUACAGAUCUGUUGCCUCACUGUAAAAGACUAGUGUGGUAGUGCCAUGUGAAUGUGAGAUGGUGGUGCAGCUCCCAAGGACAAACAUUUUAGAGAUCCACAAGAUGGGUGAUGGCCAAAGUCACCCCAGAGCAGAACAGCUUUGGGAAGCAGUUGAUUGUCCUACAGCUCAUGGGGAGCAGUCAGCUCAGUGGAUAGUUGCUGACUCUCCAGUCAGCGGUAAUCUGUCAUUUUAGUGGAGUCAUGCUGAGCACAAAUCAGGACAGCAGCCUGUAUGGAAGAGAUAGUCUCCAAAAGCAUCAGUGAAAGCAAACUGUGGGAGUCAAGCUGACAGUUCUGUGAGAGCUGGAUUUGUGCACUGUCCUGGUGGGACACCUCACUCAUGCUCAGAGAGGUUCCCCUUGCCAUCUUUUCCUAGAACAUCAGCUGUGAGAAGCAUGUACCUCUCAGUGAGUAGGGCAACAGGAGAAAUAUUUAGUGCCUUAAAGACUACAGUGUCUGAGUAGAGAAUCAGCUUGGGAAGUGACUGAUACCAGAAAUACAGUCUACCUACUGUUUCCAGGGAUGACUUCAUAUACUUGAGAAGAAUGUGUUAUAGCUACAGCAGUCUGUUAUAGCUAAAUCAAUGGGCUAUUUCCCUGAGCAAAGCCAUUACAGAGUGGAAUCCCUGGUGUCUCUCGUUCAGCACAGAGUAAGUUCAUAAUGUUGCUAUCACAUUCCUUGUAUAAUUUUAUGCAGCUCUUGGAGAGAGGAAACUACUGAUGUUGUUUCAGGAUUAUGGUUUAGACUUAAAGAACACAAAGACUGGCCUCACCAGAGUAGAGCUGGAGACACCUGCGUGACUUUAGUCGGCCCUGUAACACAAUAGGGAGCCUAGAGCUGUGCAUGCAGCUGGUACUUCCAGAGUUCCUUUGCUUGUUAGGGUAGGUGGUACUCUACUGCAGGGGAAGAAAUAACUUUGUAAAAGCACAGGACUUGUUGAUAUCUGGAUUCUACUGCUGACUUAGUUCCCAAUGUUUUGUUGUAGUCUCCAUCUUUACUAUAGAAACAGCUGUAUCUGGGUUGUAAAGGAGGCUUCUGGAAGAGAAAAAUAGUAUAUCAAGCUCCUAUUUGAAGGCAUGAGUUUGCACCUGAAAUCUGCUUAGUUUCAGAGAAUUUUUGAAGAAAUAGUCCAGAAGGAACUGCUGUGCAAAUGGAAGAUGACAAUGCAAAGGAGGUCCCAAGUUCUGCUUAAGUGAGCAAUGCUGCUUUGUCUGCAGUAAUGCCUGGUGUCAUCCUUCUGUGUUUGCCCAGUGUUAACUUGUCUUUUACAGAGCACCUGAAAAUAUGAGUCAUGAAGUGCCCUGCAUGGGCAGGCUUGUGCUGAUUGAAGAGCUUUAUACAUUUUUGCUUCUUCUGACAUGAUGUUCUCACAGCUGUACAAGAUUGUAUAGAAAGGAUAUUUUGGUAAUUUCCAUCCCUAUGAAAGAGCUAGGCUGAUCUUAGAGGUUGAAGGUUCUUGACUUCCUUGCUGGUAGGGGGAAAAGAUCCUGUCAGCUUCCUCUGCUCAGAUGCCAGAUGUUGUUACUCUGGAGUCAGAAGCAAGUCAAGUCUUCUCAUUAAAGCAGUCUUAUCCUGUGGAAGUUGCUCAGAAAUGUUACCAUUUGUGUUUGAAUGCAGGCUUCAUGCUUGGCACAACAAUCGUUGUUUGCCAGGGGCAGACUGUGACAACAGAGCGUGGUCCUGAAGCAUCCAGUGUUAAGUGGGGUUCAACUUUGAAAAGGUCAGCCCACUUGGUUUAUAGCAUUGGGAUGCCCUGAUGCUGCUGCGGUACUGCAUUGAUUACUUGGAUCCCUGCACCUUGGUGUCUUAUUGUUGACUUGGUGAAACUACAGUACUUACCAGGAUAUUGUCAUGCUUUGAAUUCUUAUGUAGCAAAUCUGAUUUUCCCACAGUGUGAUCUGUAUAUUUUAAACCCUGAAAAGAUUAAUAAACCUGUUUUGUAUAAUGCGAGAAAAAUAAGUAAUUUGCUCAUCUGAUGUGAGUAGGACAUACUUUAUGAGGGAGCAGAGUCCCCUCAAAGUUACGAAAAGACACAACACUACUUUCUUUACUAGUUUUUUAAAAUGUUUACUCAUCCCACUAAGCAAGGAAAAUGGGAUGUAAUUUCUGUUCAAAUUUUUUUUGGCUUUUGAUUUCUUGCAAUACAUUUUUUUUAACCUUUUCCUAGUGAGAUGAAAGGUCCCUCAGUAUUCUUUCUUAUGCUGUCGCCCUAUAACAGUUUGGAUGUAGGGACUGUAAUCUUCCCCUCUUAGAGGUCUGAUUUCUCAUUCAGGUCUAUUAAGUCACAGUUUGAAUAUGACUCACCUCCAAAAUGACAGAUUACUUGUCUGAUUGCAGCUCAUUCGUCAUAAUAUAUUGCUGUCAAGUGCAAAUCUUAUCUCAUAUGGAGAUUUCUUAAGGACUGAGUAGCAAACUGUAGAAUGAUUUCUCACUCACGUGAAGAGCUACCUGCAGUUUCCUUUUCACUCAUUUAGUUCCUUUCUCAAAAAAAAAGGGAAUAGAGAAGUGGGUUUUAACAGAGAGAGAAAAGACACAUUGUUUAAACAAAACACUACACUGCAAAUCUGAUCCUCCCUUUUGAAACAA